rnacentral:tRNA from 1 species
GGUGGCUCAGUGGUAGAGCUCUUGUCUUGCGUGCAUGAGGCCCUGGGUUCGAUUCCUCAGCACCA